rnacentral:rRNA from 1 species
GACGAACGCUGGCGGCGUGCUUAACACAUGCAAGUCGAACGGAAAGGCCCUGCUUUUGUGGGGUGCUCGAGUGGCGAACGGGUGAGUAACACGUGAGUAACCUGCCCUUGACUUUGGGAUAACUUCAGGAAACUGGGGCUAAUACCGGAUAGGAGCUCCUGCUGCAUGGUGGGGGUUGGAAAGUUUCGGCGGUUGGGGAUGGACUCGCGGCUUAUCAGCUUGUUGGUGGGGUAGUGGCUUACCAAGGCUUUGACGGGUAGCCGGCCUGAGAGGGUGACCGGCCACAUUGGGACUGAGAUGCGGCCCAGACUCCUUCGGGAGGCAGCAGUGGGGAAUAUUGCACAAUGGGCGGAAGCCUGAUGCAGCAACGCCGCGUGCGGGAUUACGGCCUUCGGGUUUUAAACCGCUUUCGCCUGUGACGAAGCGUGAGUGACGGUAAUGGGUAAAGAAGCACCGGCUAACUACGUG